rnacentral:rRNA from 1 species
GACGAACGCUGGCGGCGUGCCUAAUACAUGCCAGUCGAACGCUGAAGCAGGAGCUUUCUUCUCUGGAUGAGUUGCGAACGGGUGAGUAACACGUAGGUAACCUGCCUGGUAGCUUGGGAUAACUAUUGGAAACGAUAGCUAAUACCGCAUAUUAGUAGAUGUUGCAUGACAUGUGCUUAAAAGGUGCAAUUGUAUCGCUACCAGAUGUACCUGCGUUGCAUUAGCUAGUUGGUGGGGUAACGGCCCACCACGGCGACGAUGCAUAGCCGACCUGAGAGGGUGAGCAGCCACACUGGGAAUGUGACGAGUCACAGACGGCUAAGGGAGGCACCAGAAGGGGAACUGGGGAAAAGGGCGGAAGUCUGACCAGGCAGCGCCGGGGGAGUGGAGAGGGGUUUCGGAUCGUGAAGGUCGGUUGUAAGAGAAGAACGAGUGUGAGAGUGGAAAGUGCACGCUGUGACGGUAGCUGAUAAGGAAGCGACGGCUAACUACGUG